rnacentral:rRNA from 1 species
GAUGAACGCUGGCGGCGUGCCUAAUACAUGCAAGUCGAGCGAACAGACGAGGAGCUUGCUCCUCUGACGUUAGCGGCGGACGGGUGAGUAACACGUGGAUAACCUACCUAUAAGACUGGGAUAACUUCGGGAAACCGGAGCUAAUACCGGAUAAUAUAUUGAACCGCAUGGUUCAAUAGUGAAAGACGGUUUUGCUGUCACUUAUAGAUGGAUCCGCGCCGCAUUAGCUAGUUGGUAAGGUAACGGCUUACCAAGGCAACGAUGCGUAGCCGACCUGAGAGGGUGAUCGGCACCACUGGACCUGAGACACGGUCCAGACUCCUACGGGAGGCAGCAGUAGGGAAUCUUCCGCAAGGGGCGAAAGCCUGACGGAGCAACGCCGCGUGAGUGAUGAAGGUCUUCGGAUCGUAAAACUCUGUUAUUAGGGAAAAACAAAUGUGUAAGUAACUAUGCACGUCUUGACGGUACCUAAGCAGAAAGCCACGGCUAACUACG